GCGCCUCCGCUGGCCCGCGUGAAACCCUCUCUGCUGCCUCGACUGACUGUCGUUUCCGUGUCUUGAUUGUGGCCUCUGCCUCUCCCCCUUCCGAUUUCGUUCGACUUCUUUCUACAGUUACUAAGCGCCCACUGUGUGCCCUGGAAGGGACUAGACUCAGCAGGUAACGGGAAACGAAGGCACCUGCCGCUCUGAAGUUUCUCCGCAUCUCCCUCCAUCCUCUGUUCCAUCCCCAUUCUCAGCAUUUGUCCCCUCCCUCCUCUUCUUUUUUUUUUUUUUUUUAAUUUAAUCUAAAGGAACCUUGCUUCUGGAAGACCUCACAGUAGAAUUAAAAAGCCUACUUUUAUCUGACUUCUAGAGAGUUGCAAUUAAAAUGUACAUCUUACCUUGACUCAUGCCAACAAGUUAAGCUGUUAUCAGCUAUUAACACCUCAACCAGAAUUAGUUUAUUAACCUAAAGCAGACAGCUUUAUCCUAUGGAGGUCGCCUACUUGAGAUAAACUAUUAUUCACAUACUUUCACUUUUGUGCCACUCACUCAUUCAAAGAAAAAUAUUCAGUCGUUCAACUAUUUAUUGAGCACCUAGUAUGUGCCAGCAUUGUUCAUGACUAGCACUGGUCGAUGGCAAUAAUAUUAACUACAUACGACAUUUUAAAUUUUCUAGCAGCCACAUUAAAGAAAGUGAAAAGACAUAGGUAAAAGUAAUUUUAAUAAUUUAACCCAAUAUGCCCUAAAUAUUAUUUCAAUAUGUGAUCAAUAUAAAAAUUAUCAAUAAAAUAUUUUACAUUUACUUUUUUUUUAAUGCUGUGUCUUUGAAACUUUGUGUGUAUGUUACACUUCCAGCACAUCUCAGUUCCUGCUAGGAACAUUUCAAAUGCUUAAUAGCCACAUUGGCUAGUGGCCACUGUGCUAAUCACUGCAAUUCUAGACACUUGGAGAACAGCUAUGGAAAGACAAAGGUAGAAAGUCAGUAAACUCAUGAACAAAUAAAAUAAUCAUAAGUAGUGUUCAAUGCUAGGAAGAAAUUAAAACAAAGUAAUGACAUAGAAUGAUGGACAUUACCUCAUUUAACCUUUUCAAUUCCCCCCUCAAGUUGAAUAAUAGUAUAUAACAAUGUUAUAGGCCGGGUGUGGUGGCUCACGCCUGUAAUCUCAGCACUUUGGGAGGCCGAGAUGGGCGGAUCACGAGGUCAGGAGAUCAAGACCAUCCUGGCUAACACGGUGAAACUCCGUCUCUACUAAAAAUACAAAAAA
ensembl:lncRNA FGGY-DT FGGY divergent transcript